rnacentral:piRNA from 1 species
UUUUGAUUGCUACAUCAGUUU